CACGUAGGGCGCAAGCGUUGUCCGGAAUUAUUGGGCGUAAAGAGCUCGUAGGCGGUCUGUUGCGUCCGCUGUGAAAACUCGGGGCUUAACCCCGAGCCUGCAGUGGAUACGGGCAGACUCGAGGUAGGUAGGGGAGAAUGGAAUUCCCGGUGUAGCGGUGAAAUGCGCAGAUAUCGGGAGGAACACCGGUGGCGAAGGCGGUUCUCUGGGCCUUACCUGACGCUGAGGAGCGAAAGCGUGGGGAGCGAACAGG
rnacentral:rRNA from 1 species